AUUGAACGCUGGCGGCAUGCCUUACACAUGCAAGUCGAACGGUAACAGGUCUUCGGAUGCUGACGAGUGGCGAACGGGUGAGUAAUACAUCGGAACGUGCCCGAGAGUGGGGGAUAACGCAGCGAAAGCUGUGCUAAUACCGCAUACGAUCUACGGAUGAAAGCAGGGGAUUCGCAAGGACCUUGCGCUCAUGGAGCGGCCGAUGGCAGAUUAGGUAGUUGGUGGGAUAAAAGCUUACCAAGCCGACGAUCUGUAGCUGGUCUGAGAGGACGACCAGCCACACUGGGACUGAGACACGGCCCAGACUCCUACGGGAGGCAGCAGUGGGGAAUUUUGGACAAUGGGGGAAACCCUGAUCCAGCCAUGCCGCGUGCAGGAUGAAGGCCUUCGGUUGUAACUAGCUUUGUACGAACGAAAGGUACUUUACUUAAUAAAGAAGGACUCAUGACGGUACCGUAAGAAUAAGACACCGGCUAACUACGUGCCAGCACG
rnacentral:rRNA from 1 species